UACGUAGGGGGCUAGCGUUGUCCGGAAUCAUUGGGCGUAAAGAGCGUGUGGGCGGCCUGGUAAGUCCGCUGUGAAAGUCGGGGGCUCAACCCUCGAAUGCCGGUGGAUACUGUCGGGCUAGAGUGCGGAAGAGGCGAGUGGAAUUCCUGGUGUAGCGGUGAAAUGCUUAGAUAUGACAUAGAACACCAAUUGCGAAGGCAGCUCACUACACGAAUAUUGACACUGAGGCACGAAAGCGUGGGGAUCAAACAGG
rnacentral:rRNA from 1 species